rnacentral:rRNA from 1 species
CGGGUGAGUAAUGUAUCGGAACGUACCUUUCAGUGGGGGAUAACGUAGCGAAAGUUACGCUAAUACCGCAUAUUCUGUGAGCAGGAAAGCAGGGGAUCGCAAGACCUCGCGCUGAUUGAGCGGCCGAUAUCAGAUUAGCUAGUUGGUGAGGUAAAGGCUCACCAAGGCGACGAUCUGUAGCGGGUCUGAGAGGAUGAUCCGCCACACUGGAACUGAGACACGGUCCAGACUCCUACGGGAGGCAGCAGUGGGGAAUUUUGGACAAUGGGGGCAACCCUGAUCCAGCCAUGCCGCGUGAGUGAAGAAGGCCUUCGGGUUGUAAAGCUCUUUCGUCCGGGAAGAAAUCGCAUCAGCUAAUACCUGGUGUGGAUGACGGUACCGGAAUAAGAAGCACCGGCUA